UACGUAGGGUGCAAGCGUUAAUCGGAAUUACUGGGCGUAAAGCGUGCGCAGGCGGUCCCAUAAGACAGAUGUGAAAUCCCCGGGCUCAACCUGGAACUGCAUUUGCGACUGUGGGGCUAGAGUACGGUAGAGGGGGAUGGAAUUCCGCGUGUAGCAGUGAAAUGCGUAGAUAUGCGGAGGAACACCGAUGGCGAAGGCAAUCCCCUGGACCUGUACUGACGCUCAUGCACGAAAGCGUGGGGAGCAAACAGG
rnacentral:rRNA from 1 species